rnacentral:rRNA from 1 species
UACAGAGGUCCCAAGCGUUGUUCGGAUUCAUUGGGCGUAAAGGGCGCGUAGGCGGACGAGCAAGUCCGGAGUGAAAUCCUUCGGCUUAACCGGAGAAGUGCUUUGGAUACUGCUCGUCUUGAGGGAGGUAGGGGCAUGUGGAACUUCUGGUGGAGCGGUGAAAUGCGUUGAUAUCAGAAGGAACGCCGGUGGCGAAAGCGACGUGCUGGCCCUCUUCUGACGCUGAGGCACGAAAGCGUGGGGAGCAAACAGG